rnacentral:rRNA from 1 species
AUAGACAUAUUGCUGCGGUUAAAAAGCUCGUAGUUGGAUUUGUGCACGGGGACGCGGUCCACCUUCGGGUGCGCACUGCGCUCCCCGGCUUUUUCUGCCGGUCUUCUCGCCGUGGCUUUAACCGGCUGCGGUGGGUGGCUGGUGAUUUUACUUUGAACAAAUCAGAGUGCUCCAAACAGGCGUUUCGCUUGAAUGUUCGUGCAUGGAAUAAUAGAAGAGGAUUUCGGUUCUAUUUUAUUGGUUUUAUAGACUGAAAUAAUGGUUAACAGAGACAAACGGGGGCAUUUGUAUCGCUGCGUGAGAGGUGAAAUUCUUGGACCGCAGCGAGACAAACUACAG